AUAUCUUUCUCGAUGUUUUGGCUAAGAUAAAAUGCAGUAUCUACAGUUUAAUAUUUGGUAUGUGGGUCAUAUGUCCACUUUAAUUUUAAAUUUAUUUUGUGAGGAGAGCCCACUUUAUUAUAAAAUUUUAUUUUUUGUGUGUAGGCCCAUAACACUGGCUUGCCACUAGGACCUCACGUGUCAUAGAGCCG
rfam:Zea mays cultivar B73 chromosome 1, whole genome shotgun sequence.